UGGCAGGGUUCCCCACCCAAGCCCUGUCUGCAUCCUGUCCUUCCUCCCAGAAAUUAAAAGUCAUCAGGAGGAUCCAGCUGCUCCAGAAGAAUGUAAAUGCGUAUGACCUGGGGCCCGAAGAGUUAUUUGGGGCCUGGUUCCAGGCCAUGGAGCCCAUCAGUGUCCAUGAGAGCCGCCACGCCCUUGGCGAUGAGCCGUCACACUCUGGAGACCACAAGUGCAGCUCCUCCUGACCAGCAGGGACAUUGGCGCCCCCAGGGUGCACCAGGCCAGCUCUUCCCACCCUGAGUGAACGAAGACAUCCUAAGACUUUCCCUGGUUUCCCCUAAAGCCCCAGAGGGAGGGAACCACCCCUCCAACUCCCUGAAAUCUGCACCCCAGCGACUGUUAACCAAUUGGGGAGGAGUGAUAUUAUUUCUUUACUAGUAAAUGGUAGAUUUGACUCUUA